GACGAACGCUGGCGGCGUGCUUAACACAUGCAAGUCGAACGGAAAGGCCCUUUUGGGGGUACUCGAGUGGCGAACGGGUGAGUAACACGUGAGUAACCUGCCCUUGACUUCGGGAUAACUUCAUGAAACUGGGGCUAAUACCGGAUAGGAAUCCUUGCUGCAUGGUGGGGGUUGGAAAGCUUGUGCGGUUUUGGAAGGACUCGCGGCUUAUUAACUUGUUGGUGGGGUAGUGGCUUACCAAGGCUUUGACCGGUAGCCGGCCUGAGAGGGCGACCGGCCACAUUGGGGCUGAGAUACGGCCCAGACUCGUGCGGGAGGCAAGAGUGGGGGAUAUUGCACAAUGGGCGGAAGCCGGAUGCAGCAACGCCGCGUGUGGGAAGACUGCCUUCGGGUUGGAAACCGCUUUCAGCAGGGGCGAAGCUUGUGGUGACGGUACCUGCAAAAGAAGCACCGGCUAACUACGUG
rnacentral:rRNA from 1 species